rnacentral:rRNA from 1 species
AACGAACGCUGGCGGCAUGCCUAACACAUGCAAGUCGAACGAGACCUUCGUGUCUAGUGGCGCACGGGUGCGUAACGCGUGGGAACCUGCCCUUAGGUUCGGAAUAACUCCCCGAAAGGGGUGCUAAUACCGGAUAAUAUCUUCGGACCAAAGAUUUAUCGCCUUUGGAUGGGCCCGCGUUGGAUUAGCUAGUUGGUAGGGUAAAAGCCUACCAAGGCGACGAUCCAUAGCUGGUCUGAGAGGAUGAUCAGCCACACUGGGACUGAGACACGGCCCAGACUCCUACGGGAGGCAGCAGUGGGGAAUAUUGGACAAUGGGCGAAAGCCUGAUCCAGCAAUGCCGCGUGAGUGAUGAAGGCCUGAGGGUUGUAAAGCUCUUUUACCCGGGAUGAUAAUGACAGUACCGGGAGAAUAAGCUCCGGCUAACUCCGUG